rnacentral:rRNA from 1 species
ACAUCCUCUGAAAACCCUAGAGAUAGGGCUUCUCCUUCGGGAGCAGAGUGACAGGUGGUGCAUGGUUGUCGUCAGCUCGUGUCGUGAGAUGUUGGGUUAAGUCCCGCAACGAGCGCAACCCUUGAUCUUAGUUGCCAUCAUUAAGUUGGGCACUUUAAGGUGACUGCCGGUGACAAACCGGAGGAAGGUGGGGAUGACGUCAAAUCAUCAUGCCCCUUAUGACCUGGGCUACACACGUGCUACAAUGGACGGUACAAAGAGCUGCAAGACCGCGAGGUGGAGCUAAUCUCAUAAAACCGUUCUCAGUUCGGAUUGUAGGCUGCAACUCGCCUACAUGAAGCUGGAAUCGCUAGUAAUCGCGGAUCAGCAUGCCGCGGUGAAUACGUUCCCGGGCCUUGUACACACCGCCCGUCACACCUACGAGAGUUUGUACUCCCGGAGUCGGUGGGGUUAACCCUUUUUUAAAUGG